CGGCCUGCACAGGUGGCUGCAUGGCUGUCGUCAGCUCGUGUCGUGAGAUGUUGGGUUAAGUCCGCAACGAGCGCAACCCUUAUCCCCAGUUGCCACCAGGUAAAGCUGGGAACUCUGGGGAGACUGCCGGUGAUAAACCGGAGGAAGGCGGGGAUGACGUCAAGUCCUCAUGGCCCUUACAUCCCGGGCUACACACGUGCUACAAUGGCAGGUACAGAGGGCUGCAAAGCCGCGAGGUAGAGCGAAUCCCAGAAACCUGUCUCAGUCCGGAUUGAAGUCUGCAACUCGACUUCAUGAAGGCGGAAUCGCUAGUAACCGCGAAUCAGCAGGUCGCGGUGAAUACGUUCCCGGGCCUU
rnacentral:rRNA from 1 species